GUCGAUUCGUACACAUCCCGAGAACAAUUCCCCGUGCUUCCGUGGAGCUUGAAAAUCGAGAGACGUUCUCGACGAACGAUUCAACGUUACCUCACCGGUGGACUCUCUGUUUGAAAACACCCUCUUACAAGGUCUAUUUUCUGCAAGUCUGCCAACACUUCUGAACGAAAGUGUACAUAAACACAGUAUCCAAGAGGAAUCAGAGGCAAAGGGUACGGCGUAGGUGAAACACAUGAGAGGAGAGGGAAGGAAAGCAACAAGAUACCAGUUGUCCGUAUAAUCUGUAGAUCUGACCGCGCGUGUUCUGCCCAUGAAUCCCGUGGGUGGUAACCGCCUCGAGGGCCUGAUUUACAGGUGUAACCAGCAAUAACGAUUCACGGGAACGAUCGAAAAAG
rnacentral:misc_RNA from 1 species